AAAUAGUAGAAAAAUACUAUACAGCAGAUCUCCUAUAUAACUUAUUACGUUGUACAAACCCUUUUAAACCAAAAAAAAUACCAUUCAGAUAUUCUUGUGUUUUACUGCAAACUGCAGUAGACCUACAUUUUUUUGCAAGCAGAUAUUUUAAGAUGGAUGCUCAUGGAAAUGUAAUGAAGUGUUACUAAAUGUUGAAUUCUUCACAUCUGCAGUAUAGCAGCUCAGUAGGGUGAUGUUCUGUAAUGUGUAACCAUAAACAGCAGUUUUAAGACAUAUUCUGCAGACAGUAAAAGUAAUACAAUUUGUUUUUGAAAUCUGUAAAGGCCAAGCAUGGUAAAAAAAAAAAAUAAUGUCCAUGUCAAUAAACAAUUAUUAUAGUUGUUUUCCC